CCUACGGGAGGCAGCAGUGGGGGAUAUUGCACAAUGGGGGGAACCCUGAUGCAGCGACGCCGCGUGGGUGAAGAAGCGCCUCGGCGCGUAAAGCCCUGUCAGCAGGGAAGAAAAUGACGGUACCUGAAGAAGAAGCCCCGGCUAACUACGUGCCAGCAGCCGCGGGAAUACGUAGGGGGCAAGCGUUAUCCGGAUGUACUGGGUGUAAAGGGGGCGCAGACGGCGAUGCAAGCCAGGAGUGAAAGCCCGGGGCCCAACCCCGGGACUGCUCUUGGAACUGCGUGGCUGGAGUGCAGGAGGGGCAGGCGGAAUUCCUGGUGUAGCGGUGAAAUGCGUAGAUAUCAGGAGGAACACCGGUGGCGAAGGCGGCCUGCUGGACUGCAACUGACGUUGAGGCCCGAAAGCGUGGGGAGCAAACAGGAUUAGAUACCCCUGAAGUC
rnacentral:rRNA from 1 species